rnacentral:rRNA from 7 species
CACAAACGACUCUCGGCAACGGAUAUCUCGGCUCAUGCAUCGAUGAAGAACGUAGCGAAAUGCGAUACUUGGUGUGAAUUGCAGAAUCCCGUGAACCAUCGAGUUUUUGAACGCAAGUUGCGCCCGAAGCCAUUCGGCCGAGGGCACGUCUGCCUGGGCGUCACA